rnacentral:rRNA from 1 species
GAGUUUGAUCAUGGCUCAGGAUAAACGCUGGCGGCGUGCUUCAGGCAUGCAAGUCGAACGGACCUUCGGGUCAGUGGCGGACGGGUGAGUAACACGUAAGUAACCUGCCCAGAAGUGGGAAGUAACUAGCCGAAAGGCUGGCUAAUACCGCAUGUGAUGGUUGUUCUCUGGAGCAAAUCAUGAAAGGCGAAAAGUCGCUUCUGGAGGGGCUUGCGGCCGAUUAGCUAGUUGGUGGGGUAAAGGCCUACCAAGGCUUCGAUCGGUAGCUGGUCUGAGAGGACGGACAGCCACACGGGGACUGAGAUACGGCCCGAC